rnacentral:rRNA from 1 species
CCUUUACGGAUAAAUUUGGACCGCAUGGUUCUAAAGUGAAAGAUGGUUUUGCUAUCACUUAUAGAUGGACCCGCGCCGUAUUAGCUAGUUGGUAAGGUAACGGCUUACCAAGGCGACGAUACGUWGCCGACCUGAGAGGGUGAUCGGCCACACUGRAACUGAGASACGGUCCAKACUCCUACGGGAGGCAGCAGUAGGGAAUCUUCCGCAAUGGGCGAAAGYCUGACGGAGCAACGCCGCGUGAGUGAUGAAGGKUUUCGGCUCGUAAAACUCUGUUGUUAGAGAAGAACAARSGUGUAAGUAACUGUKCAUGYCUUGACGGUAYCUAAYCAGAAAGCCACGGCUAACUACGUGCCAGCAA